AUGAACCUUUUUACUAGUAGAUCUUUCGGUGUGCCACUGAGAAUAAUUAACCAUAAUAUUAUCGAGGCGCUGGGCGACAAGAACGGCUCGAGCAAGGCCGCCAUCUCCAGCUACAUCGAGGAGAAGUACGAGGGCCUCCCCUCGGCGCACGCCUCCCUCCUCACGGCCAACCUCGCCAGCAUGAAGGAGGCCGGCAAGCUCGCCUUCGUCAAGAACAACUACCUCAAGGCUGACGCUCCCUCCGCCACCCCGGCAAAGCGCGGCCGCGGCCGCCCGCCCAAGCCGAAGGCGGCGCCCAAGGACCCCAACACGCCCAAGCGCGGCCGGGGCCGCCCGCCCAAGGCUAAGGAUCCCAUGGCCGACGCCGUCAAGGAUGCCGUCGCCAAGGCGACCACCGGCAUGCCCCAGGGCCGCGGCCGCCCGCCGGGUCCCUCCUCGGCCAAGAAGGCCAAGGUCGCAUAA
rnacentral:rRNA from 1 species